rnacentral:rRNA from 1 species
GAUGAACGCUGGCGGCGUGCCUAAUACAUGCAAGUCGAGCGAACGGACGAGAAGCUUGCUUCUCUGAUGUUAGCGGCGGACGGGUGAGUAACACGUGGAUAACCUACCUAUAAGACUGAUAUAACUUCGGGAAACCGGAGCUAAUACCGUAUAAUAUUUUGAACCGCAUGGUUCAAAAGUGAAAGACGGUCUUUCUGUCACUUAUAGAUGGAUCCGCGCUGCAUUAGCUAGUUGGUAAGGUAACGGCUUACCAAGGCAACGAUGCAUAGCCGACCUGAGAGGGUGAUAGGCCACACUGGAACUGAGACACGGUCCAGACUCCUACGGGAGGCAGCAGUAGGGAAUCUUCCGCAAUGGGCGAAAGCCUGACGGAGCAACGCCGCGUGAGUGAUGAAGGUCUUCGGAUCGUAAAACUCUGUUAUUAGGGAAGAACAUAUGUGUAAGUAACUGUGCACAUCUUGACGGUACCUAAUCAGAAAGCCACGGCUAACUACGUG